UACGUAGGGGGCAAGCGUUGUCCGGAUUUAUUGGGCGUAAAGAGCGUGUAGGCGGUUAGGUAGGUCCGUUGUGAAAACUCGAGGCUCAACCUCGGGACGCCGAUGGAAACCAUCUGACUAGAGUCCGGAAGAGGAGAGUGGAAUUCCUGGUGUAGCGGUGAAAUGCGCAGAUAUCAGGAAGAACACCCGUGGCUAAGGCGGCUCUCUAGUACGGUACUGACGCUGAGACGCGAAAGCGUGGGGAGCGAACAGG
rnacentral:rRNA from 1 species